rnacentral:snRNA from 1 species
GUGCUCACUUCAGCAGCAUAUAUACUAAAAUUGGAAUGAUACAGAGAAGAUUAGCAUGGCCCCUGGGCAAGGAUGACAUGCAAAUUCAUGAAGCAUUCCAUAUUUUU